rnacentral:rRNA from 1 species
AGUGAACGCUGGCGGUAGGCCUAACACAUGCAAGUCGAACGGCAGCACAGUAAGAGCUUGCUCUUACGGGUGGCGAGUGGCGGACGGGUGAGGAAUACAUCGGAAUCUACUUUUUCGGGGGGGAUAACGUAGGGAAACUUACGCUAAUACCGCAUACGACCUACGGGUGAAAGCAGGGGAUCUUCGGACCUUGCGCGAUUGAAUGAGCCGAUGUCGGAUUAGCUAGUUGGCGGGGUAAAGGACCACCAAGGCGACGAUCCGUAGCUGGUCUGAGAGGAUGAUCAGCCACACUGGAACUGAGACACGGUCCAGACUCCUACGGGAGGCAGCAGUGGGGAAUAUUGGACAAUGGGCGCAAGCCUGAUCCAGCCAUACCGCGUGGGUGAAGAAGGCCUUCGGGUUGUAAAGCCCUUUUGUUGGGAAAGAAAAGCAGCAGGUUAAUACCCCGCUGUUCUGACGGUACCCAAAGAAUAAGCACCGGCUAACUUCGUG